UACAGAGACUGCAAGCGUUAUUCGGAUUCACUGGGCGUAAAGGGUGCGCAGGCGGCCAGGUGUGUUAGGCGUGAAAGCCCGGGGCUUAACCCCGGAAUUGCACCUAAAACUACUUGGCUAGAGCAUUGGAGAGGGUAGCGGAAUUCACGGUGUAGCAGUGAAAUGCGUAGAUAUCGUGAGGAACACCAGAGGCGAAGGCGGCUACCUGGACAAUUGCUGACGCUCAGACACGAAAGCGUGGGGAGCAAAAGGG
rnacentral:rRNA from 1 species